GCCGCUGCGGCCGUAGUCGUCGGUGCCGGACUUGUUGUAGCCGCCCUCGUAGUCGUCCGUGCCGCCGCGGCGGCCGGUGUACCCGUCGCCGCCGCUGCGGCCGUAGUCGUCGCCGCCGGACUUGUUGUACCCGUCGCCGUAGCCGCCGUCGCCGCCCGACUUGUUGUAGCCGCCUUCGCCGCGGCCGUAGUCGUCGCCGCCCUCGUAGUCUUCGCCGGCGCCGGACCUGCCGUAGCCGCUGCGGCCGUACUCG
rnacentral:lncRNA from 1 species